UACGUAGGGGGCAAGCGUUGUCCGGAUUUAUUGGGCGUAAAGAGCGUGUAGGCGGCCAGGUAGGUCCGUUGUGAAAACUCGAGGCUCAACCUCGAGACGUCGGCGGAAACCCUCUGGCUAGAGUCCGGAAGAGGAGAGUGGAAUUCCUGGUGUAGCGGUGAAAUGCGCAGAUAUCAGGAAGAACACCCGUGGCGAAGGCGGCUCUCUGGGACGUGACUGACGCUGAGACGCGAAAGCGUGGGGAGCAAACAGG
rnacentral:rRNA from 1 species